rnacentral:rRNA from 1 species
UACGUAGGUGGCAAGCGUUGUCCGGAAUUAUUGGGCGUAAAGAGCUCGUAGGCGGUUUGUCGCGCCUGCUGUGAAAACCCGAGGCUCAACCUCGGGCCUGCAGUGGGUACGGGCAGACUAGAGUGCGGUAGGGGAGAUUGGAAUUCCUGGUGUAGCGGUGAAAUGCGCAGAUAUCAGGAGGAACACCGGUGGCGAAGGCGGUUCUCUGGGAAUGUCCUGACGCUGAGGAGCGAAAGUGUGGGGAGCGAACAGG